UCGUUGGCUUACCUGAAGGUCUGGAAGGAGGUUCACCAUUGGAAUUCAUUUCGAAGAUUCUCCAAACAGUUAUUGGAAGAGAUGUUUUCCCCAAAUAUCCAGAGUUGGACAGAGCACACCGUACACUAGCUCCGAAGCCUGCCAGAGGACAACGUCCGCGAGCCAUCAUCGUUAGAUUCCAUCGUUAUCAGGAUAAGGAACGUGUGCAAGAUCGCAGAGGGAAGACAUGAAGUUCGACGGCAACAGAAUCCUGUUUUUCCCUGAUAUGAGUGCAAGCCUAGCCAAGCAACGAGCGACAUUCAAGGACAUCAAGGCCAAACUCUAUGCCGAUGGAAUUGCGUUCUCCCUACGCCACCCUGCUCGCCUGUGCAUCACCGUCAACGGGGACAAACAUCUCUUCGACACCCUGCAGCAGCAGAAACAUUCUACGAUCAGAUAAAAGGGAACUUUCCAGCCAACACUGAUGAAGAACAAGGCUAAAUGAUGCCUGCCACAUUUGAAAGGUUUGAAAUAUGCCAACAGUUUGGGUGAUAGGCUAUUACAUGCUGAUCUUGGAUAAUUGAUAGAUCGCCUGAAUCGCGCUUUAGACUGAAACUUAAAGGCGAGUUUUGUGUUCAAUAACCGUAUCUACUAGGGUGAAUUGGGUAAGCGUAGGAAGAGAUUUAUUUUAGAAAAAAAGAAUGUUUUAUUAAAAGUGCACUUAUGUAUGCGUUCAGUUAUGGGAGCAAAUUCCUUCGUUUGUUAGAUAAAGGAAUCGUUUGUACUGCAUUGUUAGGAGUGGAAUUGUGUAGUAGACCUGCAGCUCGCUUCCAAGGAAGGACGAGCAUAGGCUUUGAAGACACCGGCAGACUGUUCUAAUGCUGCUGGGCUUAUUCUUUUUCUGUUUUUCUUUAUGGGGAGGGAUAUGCAGGGGAUAAGUGGAGGGUGUUCAGAAGACUGAGAGCUGAUGGGGAAAUUUCUCAUGCAGGGAAAGAGAGAGGGAGAGAGAGUGAGGCUUUUUGGCUUUUGCUGAGUUACGGGCAGAAAUUGCUGGAGUACACAGGUGUCUUGGGAAAAUUACAGUUCUCUUUGCUUUCUGAGGUUUCUCCAUCUAUCCAUCCAUUAGGGGGUGUAGCGAUACACACAUUUCUUUGCGUUUUGACACGGUUCGAUACAGAGGCCUUU
ensembl:lncRNA